CCUACGGGGGGCUGCAGUGGGGAAUAUUGGACAAUGGGCGCAAGCCUGAUCCAGCAAUGCCGCGUGUGUGAAGAAGGCCUGUGGGUUGUAAAGCACUUUAAGCAGGAAAGAAGGGGUGAAAGUUAAUACCUUUCAUCAUUGACGUUACCUGCAGAAUAAGCACCGGCUAACUCCGUGCCAGCAGCCGCGGUAAUACGGACGGUGCGAGCGUUCGUCGGAAUUACUGGGCGUGUUUGGCCAGUCGGCGGUUAAAGCCCUGGGCUUAACCUGGGAACUGCGGUGGAUACUGUCGGGCUAGAGUGUGGUAGAGGGGAGUGGAAUUUCCGGUGUAGCAGUGAAAUGCGUAGAGAUCGGAAGGAACACCAGUGGCGAAGGCGGCUCCCUGGACUAACACUGACGCUGAGGUGCGAAAGCGUGGGGAGCAAACAGGAUUAGAUACCCGUGUAGUC
rnacentral:rRNA from 1 species